UUUUUUUUUUCUGUUAUGGUUUUAGAUCUGUCUUAGGGAAUUCAUUAGAUAGUGUGAAGUGAUAGCCAUGUCUGUGAAUAAUAACAAUAAUAGUACUACUACUAAUAAUAACAACAAUAGUAAUAGUAAUCCGCCCAAGAGCCUUGGGCAACCUACGGGGAUGCUCAGUCAAUCGUUGCCCAUGAACCCAGCAUUCUCACAGUCACAAUCUCAGGUGCAAAUUGGCACCGGCUUUCAGGGUCAGUUCCAGCUGUCCCAAGCACAGGUCACUGCUCAGGCACAGUUGAAAGCGCAACAGGCUCAUGUGCAAGCACAGGCCCAAGCAGCUCAUGCUGCUCAAGUUCAAGCAGCGCAUUUACAGUUCCAAGCUCAGUUGCAGGCUCAGGGAAUAUCUCUUAGCCAAGCCCAAAAUGCCGCCUUGGGAAACUUGGGUUCAUCCUCACCUUCAUUUUCAACUCCUGGUAGCAUGAAUUUGAAGCGUCUACCUCAAAAACCCCCAGUUCGGCCUCCUGGUGUUCCCAUGCCAAGCAUGAUUUCCCCAUUGAGAACUAUGGAUCUCACCCCUGCAGCUCGCAGGAAGAAGCAGAAGCUUCCGGAGAAGCAACUACAAGAUAGAAUGGCAGCCAUUCUCCCUGAGUCUGCUCUGUAUACACAGCUUCUUGAAUUUGAGUCUCGAGUUGAUGCUGCUUUAUCUAGAAAAAAGGUUGACAUCCAGGAGGCUCUUAAAAAUCCUCCUUGUGUUCAGAAAACACUUCGAAUUUAUGUUUUCAACACUUUUGCUAAUCAGAUCAGAACAAUUCCGAAGAAGCCAAAUGCUGAGCCCCCAACUUGGACUCUUAAGAUUGUUGGGAGAAUAUUGGAAGAUGGGAUAGAUCCUGACCAACCUGGAGUAGUUCAGAAAUCAAACCCCUUGUAUCCAAAGUUCUCAUAUUUUUUCAAGAGAGUGACUAUUAUGUUGGAUCAGAGAUUAUAUCCUGAUAAUCAUAUGAUUGUAUGGGAGCAUUCUCGAACACCUGCAACUCAUGAGGGUUUUGAAGUAAAGAGAAGGGGGGAUAAAGAGUUUACAGUUACUAUACGGUUGGAAAUGAACUAUUUGCCUGAGAAAUUUAAGCUCUCUCCAGCUUUGAUGGAAGUUCUUGGUAUUGAGGUUGACACCCGUCCAAGAAUAAUAGCUGCAAUCUGGCAUUAUGUGAAGGCAAGGAAACUGCAGAAUCCAGAGGACCCUUCUUUCUUUAAUUGUGAUCCACCUCUUCAGAAAGUAUUUGGGGAAGCAAAGAUGAAAUUUACCAUGGUUUCACAGAAGAUAUCGCAGCAUUUAUCUCCUCCUCAACCAAUAGUUUUGGAGCAUAAGAUAAAGCUUUCAGGAAACAGUCCAGUUGGAACUGCAUGCUACGAUGUGGUGGUGGAUGUCCCCUUCCCAAUACAGAGGGAAUUGAAUGCUCUGUUGGCCAAUGCAGAGAAGAACAAAGAGAUUGAAACCUGUGAUGAAGCAAUAUGUGCUGCUAUAAGGAAAAUUCAUGAACAUCGUAGGAGGCGGGCAUUCUUCCUUGGGUUCAGCCAAUCGCCUGUGGAAUUCAUUAAUGCUUUGAUUGAAUCUCAAAGCAAGGAUUUGAAGCUUGUAGCUGGAGAAGCUAGUCGAAGUGCUGAGAAGGAGCGCCGUGCUGAUUUCUUCAACCAACCAUGGGUUGAAGAUGCUGUUAUUCGCUACCUAAAUCGUAAGCCGGCUGCAGGAAGUGAUGCUCCUGGAAGCACCUGAGUUGGAAGCUAUUUUUCACUGCUGAUCUGCGUGUUUGUUCGACUUUGAUUCUUUCACUUGGCAUCUGUAUAGCUUUUAUGAAAAUAUGGCUAUUUCUGAUCAAUCUAAUUGUUAAUGGUCAUCAAGCCACAGGAUGAACACCCCUUUACUUGUUAUACAACAGUUAUGGUUUGUAGCUUGUUAGCAGAAUUGUCCACAUAUUUGUUUUACUCAUUGUGCUAUUGAGAAGAUUGGCCCCAUAGGGCAUAUGGUUAUAUGAAUCAUUGAGACAUUGAUGCGAUGUUGCCCUGUACUCCCUGUGGGUUGUGCAGCAGCACUAAUUGGCGCUGAGUCCACUCGGUUUUCCUCUAGAAACAAUAAAUUGCUGAAUGAUGGGAUUUUAUCUUUUUCCCCACUGGAAACAUGAAAUAAAGUUGCGCACACUUCCGCAGGGAUUGAUGGAAAAAUGGCACUGAUUGUGGGAUCAACGCCUAAGUAUCUGUCUGUGUAAUUCCGGAUCCAACUUAAAUUUGGGAAUAAUUAAAUUAGUGAAAACAACUAAAAA
rnacentral:misc_RNA from 1 species